rnacentral:rRNA from 1 species
UUAGUAAACGGCCGCAGUACCUUGACUGUGCUAAGGUAGCAUAAUCAGUUGGCUUUUAAAUGGAGUCGGGAAUGAACGGAUUAAUAGGGUUAAGCUGUCUCUACUAUAUUAAAUUGAACUUACUUAUUAGGUGAAAAUGCCUAAGUUGUAAAAGAAAAAAGACGAGAAGACCCUAGGAGUUUUAACUAGAUGCUAUUUAUUAUAGUUAAUGUUUUUGUUGGGGCGACAUUGGAACAAUUUUAUUUAACUUCCUUUAUGUUUAUAGGCCGACUUUGUAUGUAAAUCUAAACUACCCUAGGGAUAACAGCGUAAUUCUUUUUGAGCUUGCGACCUCGAUGUUGGACUAGGAAUUUGGUGGGCUAGCCGCCUAUUUAUAUUGUUCUGUUCGAACUGUUUUUCCUACAUGAUCUGAGUUCAAACCGGAGACGACCUCGAUGUUGGAUCAGGACAUCCCGAUGGUGCAGCCGCUAUUAAAGGUUCGUUUGUUCAACGAUUAAAGUCCUACGUGAUCUGA